AUAAGUGGUUCAAUUCUCUAUCUCACUACAAGAAAGGGGACCUUUUAUCCCACUUUUUUAGUUAACAAAAAUAAAAAAUGGGAUAAAAGAUAUAUUCAGACUUUCUAUCCCACUUUUAGAUUUGGAGCCUCAAAUAUGGAGAAAAUUUUUUUUUAGACAAGGGCCCUGUUUGGUAGAACGUUGAAAAAAAAAUAUCAAAGGUAAAAAAAUAAGUUCAAGAUUUGAUUUUUAUGGGUUAGCCAAACGGGGAUUAAGAUUUUUAGGGAAACUUUUUAUCCCGGUUAUUAGUUAAAAACCGGGAUAAAAAGUGUUUCCCUAAAAACACUUUCUUCUCGCGAAAUCGCAUAUAUCUCUGCUCUAACCUCAACAGAAACCCUCCCAAACUCAGAAACCCUCGCCCAAACCCAGAAACCCUCGCCAGCAAACCCAUGUUAGCCUCCAUCUCGCCCAUACCAGAAUCGCCCAAACCCAGCUGCUCAAACGAUUAAAGGUAAACUUUGUUUCUUUAUUAUUUUUCCCUAUUUUGCAUUUUUCCACCAUUUUUUUUCUGGGUUCAAGAAAAUAUAAAACCUGAUAUUUUUUUGUUAAUAAUGUUUUCUAGUUCAGGGAUUAUUUAUUAUGUAUCAUUUUUUACCUUUUUAGUUCUUAAAGAUUUGAUUUUUAUAAUAUUUGAAUGAGUUAUUGAUAUAAUUUUUUAUGAGCUCCCUCUGCCAAUUGUUGUACAUCUUCUGCGAGUGUGACUUGUCUCUACAAUAAUAUUUUUUGUUUCUCUUGUUGCUACUUUCAUGGCUGUUUCUUUAUUAUAUUCCAUAUAAUUUUAUCAACCGAAGGGUCUCUAGGAAGAAGUUAUAGCAGCAGUAGCUUGUACUCAGGGGGAAGUAUUGACAACAAGUAAGCUUGAAUAAUGUUGUUUUAAAUUUUGUGAACUAGAAACAAUAGAAACUUGAGAAAAGAAGGAAUGAAAUUCUAAUGCUUACUAGUGACAAGUAGAAUACUGCUAUACUUAUUGCUCUAAUUUAUUGUAAUUUUGUUUCAAGAGAUAGUCAAACUAACAAGAUUAUUAAGUUUGUGUUUUAUUUGUAUUAUUGUUUGAAGUAGCCUAAAAUUAUUAUCUCAAAGAUAAAAUAAUUUUGUUCAUUUACUUAUAACAUAUUAUGGACUCUACUUUAUGCAUAAGAGUGAUUGCCAUUUAAUUAUGACUUUUGUAAAGGUACUCAUAGAAUUCGUAUGUUUUAAUUUGAAAGUAUUUCUAUUCAAAACUUAAUUUGCUAUACUAUUUUAAUUUGAUAUAUACUUGUGACUAGUUUUAAUAUGGAUGUAAAUUGCCACAGAAUAAUUGCAAUGUAAUGUGAGGUAUUCAUAAAAGAACAUGAUGUCCUUUCAACAAGCUUUAUAAAAAGUGUUUUCUCAGUACAUACCAAGAAAUCGCAGGAAGGUUGUAAUUAUUGAAGAAGAAACAUAAUAGAAGGAAAGAGAGUGAAUGAUAAUCAUAAGAUCACAUAUUCAAUUCCAAUGAUCAAUGGUGAAAGUGAUCAUUACAUAGUUACCAAAAACCUUAAAAUUCAAAGAUUCAACGAGACUCUUCUUGGAACUAUGUUAUUGGAACAAUUGCUAUGAGGGACUAUAUAAGCUGCAACUAUUGUCUUUCUCUUUUCUGUUGCGGAGUGGGUGGUGUCAAGGGAAAGCACAAGGUUAGCUCAUAACAACCAUUUUCCCUUUAGUUGCAUAUAUAUAGGUUUUUGGAUUUUUAUUGACAAGUGAGCAUGAUUUUAGAGUAUGAAAUGAUUUGAAAUAAAGUAUGGUUAUUGAAUUCAUUAGAUCGAAGUAGUAAUUUGUUUUAUUUUCUUGGGUUUGGUUCACAUUUAUAAUGUUAAUCAACAUUGUUGUUUUUUGUGUUAAAAAAAAGAGGUGUUUAAGAACUAUCAAGGUUGUUGAUUCAUGAUUGUGCUUCAGUGUUCAUUCAUACAUACUACUCUCAAUUUUUGAAUUUUGAAGCCUAACAUAGUUACUAAUUUGAGAUUAUAUCGUUUUUUUUUUUUUGCUGAAAGUUAGGGAUUAUAUCUUGGUUCCAAGUUUUUUCUAUGUCGAUUCCGAUGUGUUCAAUAUAGUUUUUAUUUGAUUUCUAUAUUUUUUUAUUUCUGUGAUGUUGCUUGUGCAAGUUCAAUGACUGUUUUUUCGUUGUUCGUUUUGUGUGUGAAAAUAGUGUGCGGUGGUGCUUAAUAAGGUGAAAUUUUUUAUUAUUAAAUCAGUGUCAAGAAAAUUUUCGGAUCUCCCGAAAACAGCAAGUGUGAACUUAAAAUUUCAACAAAAGAAAAAAAAAACAAGUGUGAACUUAAAAUGUUUGACAGAGAGAUUUUUUAACUUCUUUAACAUAUUGAAAGGAUUUGUCUUUACAUGUCUCUUGAACAAAUAUAUUGAUAUUGUCUUUAUUUUUCCUCAAGGAAAGACAAACAAAUAAAAAAAAAUAUUACAAUCUCAAUACUAGUUUCAUUAAUCUUUAUAUGCCUCUCUUAUGGCACGACAUAACUGUUUUUCUAAAGAAUCACAUUACAUAUUUUCCUGUCCAUAGUUUUCGAUAUUAGUGUA